AUUAUCCAAAAUUGUAGACACAUUGUGUCCACAAAAAGGAAUCUCAAUAAGCACAUUUUUUAUCUGUUCAAAAUAUACCUUAAAGGGUCAAGUAUUUAAUACUCUUAUCAACAUGGGGGUGGGCAAAUAUGCCGUUUUAUGUGAAUACAAUCCAAGGACAAAUACAGCAUGGCGCUGCCCGCGCCGUUUGAUUGACAAGUGAUCUCGGAAAAACACACAGCAAUAAGCGCUAACCACCAAAGAUUUUGCCAGGAGGAAAAAAAAAAAAAAAAAAAAGAAGUGGGAUGUCACAGGGAUGAGCUGACAUCUGGGGCCGCAUCAAACCCUCGGUAAUGAACAGGGACGCAACCCCGGCUAACACUCGACCAGCGCGGGCCAGGCGGAGAGAGAAAGCGGGGGUUGGUGUUGGGAGACGAGGACUCAAAGGUAUCUCAGGUCACGAUGAAGAGGAAAGUCAAAUCUUUUGAUUCAGCUCAACCCACCGGCCUCUUGUAAAAAAGAAACAAAAAAAAAAAACAAUUACAACUUAAUUUGCACCGGAGACGGAGGCGAACAAGUUA